AAUCAACGCUGGCGGCGUGCCUAACACAUGCAAGUCGAGCGGUAGAGAGAAGCUUGCUUCUCUUGAGAGCGGCGGACGGGUGAGUAAUGCCUAGGAAUCUGCCUGAUAGUGGGGGAUAACGUCCGGAAACGGACGCCAAUACCACAUACGUCCUACGGGAGAAAGUGGGGGCUCUUCGGACCUCACGCUAUCAGAUGAGCCUAGGUCGGAUUAGCUAGUUGGUGGGGUAAAGGAUCACCAAGGCGACGAUCCGUAACUGGUCUGAGAGGAUGAUCAGUCAAACUGGGACUGGGACACGGUCCAGACUCCUCCGGGAGGCAGCAGUGGGGAAUAUUGGACAAUGGGCGAAAGCCUGAUCCAGCCAUGCCGCGUGUGUGAAGAAGGUCUUCGGAUUGUAAAGCACUUUAAGUUGGGAGGAAGGGGCGUUACCUAAAACGUGGCGAUUUUGACGUUACCGACAGAAUAAGCACCGGCUAACUCUGUGCCAGCCGCCGCCGUAAAAC
rnacentral:rRNA from 1 species